AGAACGAACGCUGGCGGCAGGCUUAACACAUGCAAGUCGAGCGCCCCGCAAGGGGAGCGGCAGACGGGUGAGUAACGCGUGGGAAUCUACCCAACUCUACGGAAUAACUCAGGGAAACUUGUGCUAAUACCGUAUACGCCCUUCGGGGGAAAGAUUUAUCGGAGUUGGAUGAGCCCGCGUUGGAUUAGCUAGUUGGUGGGGUAAAGCCUACCAAGGCGACGAUCCAUAGCUGGUCUGAGAGGAUGAUCAGCCACAUUGGGACUGAGACACGGCCCAAACUCCUACGGGAGCAGCAGUGGGGAAUAUUGGACAAUGGGCGAAAGCCUGAUCCAGCAAUGCCGCGUGCAGGAAGAAGGCCUU
rnacentral:rRNA from 1 species